rnacentral:pre_miRNA from 1 species
AAUAAUUUUUGACUCUUCGUUUUAUUUAGAGUUUUUUUUGAUAAAUAUUUUUAUUGUUAUUAGACGAUAAAAUAUGAAUAGUCCUUUAUGCAUGACUAUUUUUUAAAAUUUUGUAUAAAUUUUUUAAAUAAGACGAAUGGUCAAAACAUUAGACACAUAAAUC